rnacentral:rRNA from 1 species
UACGUAGGGGGCAAGCGUUGUCCGGAUUUACUGGGCGUAAAGAGCGUGUAGGCGGCCAAACAGGUCCGUUGUGAAAACUGGAGGCUUAACCUCGAGAUGUCGGCGGAAACCGUCUGGCUAGAGUCCGGAAGAGGAGAGUGGAAUUCCUGGUGUAGCGGUGAAAUGCGCAGAUAUCAGGAAGAACACCUAUGGCGAAGGCAGCUCUCUGGGACGGUACUGACGCUGAGACGCGAAAGCGUGGGGAGCGAACAGG